rnacentral:misc_RNA from 1 species
AUAAAUAUGCAGAAGAAAUGUUGCACUAGAGAACUAGUAUUCCAGAAGGUAAGUUCUUGAGGAGAAAAAGUAGUUUAAAUAUCAUUAAUUCUUUAUGCAUCCCAAGUCCUCUCCUCAAUGUUCAACAUCACAACCCUAAAGCAAGGUCAGUAGCACUGCUGCAAAACUAAUGUUGAAUUGAAGCACCAUUUGAUACAUCUCAUACAUUCUUUAUGUACUCUAAUUUCCUUUGAUAUACAAUUAUUUUAUCAAAGAAAGAAGAAAAAUUCCAA